rnacentral:rRNA from 1 species
UACGGGGGGGGCAAGCGUUGUUCGGAAUUACUGGGCGUAAAGGGCUCGUAGGCGGCCAACUAAGUCAGACGUGAAAUCCCUCGGCUUAACCGGGGAACUGCGUCUGAUACUGGAUGGCUUGAGUUUGGGAGAGGGAUGCGGAAUUCCAGGUGUAGCGGUGAAAUGCGUAGAUAUCUGGAGGAACACCGGUGGCGAAGGCGGCAUCCUGGACCAACACUGACGCUGAUGAGCGAAAGCCAGGGGAGCCAAACGGG